rnacentral:lncRNA from 1 species
AGGCUAUAAGAUGUAAAGGUGAAAGAGCUCCACCCAAGUGGUGGUCUCCUAGAACAUUUCCACUUUAAGAGGUAAAAAAAUUGCUCCUAGCAAUGCAUCAUCUGUGCUCAGCACACAAUUAUAAUUGCCAUGAGCACAUCUCAGUACUGCGAGCACCUCCCAGCCAUGCUGAAAUAGGCAUGACAUACUCAUACAAGUGGAGGCCUCAGUAGGCAGAACUGCAUCCCAUGCAGUCAGCCUUCCCUCAGCCAGGCUCCCCUUCCAUGUAUGUCAUAAAGAGCCCCUGUUUCUCACCAGCAACCUUCAGUGCAGCCUGCAUUCAGGCCACGUAUCUCAUCAGCUGGUGUCUCCCAGUGGAGGGCCGCCAUUUUGCAGCCCUGCCAGGCUGACAUAAAGCAAGCAGCUGUUGGAGGAACACCAAGUGCUUUGACAACUUCUUCUUCCAAGCCAACUUCCCUGCCAUGGGGACCUCACCCAAAGAAGGGCUUUUGGUGCAGUGCACAAAUGGAGCUUGGCAAGAGACGUUUUUGGGUGACAACCUGCCACUGCCUGCCAGAGGAGAUGGAGACAGGCUCUUUUCGGAGGUUAAACGAUGGAGAAUUGGCUUUCAUGCUCCAGAGCACCUGCUGGUUCUCAGGGGGCAAGCAAGGAAUUCUGAAACUAGAGAAGGGGAGCAGGCAACAACUGGCCACCUUAUUUCCAUUCCUAUUGUUGUAAAACCUUGUCUCCAUAUGCGGGGCUUUUACAACAGCGUGCAUUUCCCUGGUGUUGUAUGCACAUCCCUCCACGCCUGA